GUGGGGAAUCUUCCGCAAUGGACGAAAGUCUGACGGAGCAACGCCGCGUGAGUGAAGAAGGUUUUCGGAUCGUAAAGCUCUUUCGUUAGGGACGAACGUGCUCUUUGUGAAUAAUGAGGAGUAAUGACGGUACCUAAAUAAGAAGCCACGGCUAACUACGUGCCAGCAGCCGCGGUAAUACGUAGGUGGCAAGCGUUGUCCGGAAUUAUUGGGCGUAAAGCGCGCGCAGGCGGGAUAUCAAGUCUGUCUUAAAAGUGCGAGGCUCAACCUCGUGAGGGGACAGAAACUGGCAUUCUUGAGUGUCGGAGAGGAAAGUGGAAUUCCAAGUGUAGCGGUGAAAUGCGUAGAGAUUUGGAAGAACACCAGUGGCGAAGGCGACUUUCUGGACGAUGUCUGACGCUGAGGCGCGAAAGCUAGGGGAGCGAACGGGAUUAGAAACCCUGGUAGUCC
rnacentral:rRNA from 1 species